rnacentral:rRNA from 1 species
CCUACGGGAGGCAGCAGCAGGGAAUAUUGCACAAUGGGCGCAAGCCUGAUGCAGCGACGCCGCGUGGGGGAUGAAUGCCUUCGGGUUGUAAACCCCUUUCAGGAGGGACGAAGCGAAAGUGACGGUACCUCCAGAAGAAGCCCCGGCCAACUACGUGCCAGCAGCCGCGGUAAUACGUAGGGGGCGAGCGUUGUCCGGAUUUAUUGGGCGUAAAGAGCUCGUAGGCGGCUCAACAAGUCGGCCGUGAAAGCCUGAGGCUCAACCUCAGGACGCCGGUCGAAACUGUUGUGGCUAGGGUUCGGUAGAGGAGAGUGGAAUUCCCGGUGUAGCGGUGAAAUGCGCAGAUAUCGGGAGGAACACCAGUAGCGAAGGCGGCUCUCUGGGCCGACACCGACGCUGAGGAGCGAAAGCUAGGGGAGCAAACAGGAUUAGAUACCCUGGUAGUCCUAGCCGUAAACGUUGGGUACUAGGUGUGGCGGAUUCAUUGACAUCUGCCGUGCCGAAGCUAACGCAUUAAGUACCCCGCCUGGGGAGUACGGUCGCAAGGCUAAAACUCAAAGGAAUUGACGG